UACGGAGGGUGCAAGCGUUAUCCGGAAUCACUGGGUUUAAAGGGUGCGUAGGCGGUGGAGUAAGUCAGUUGUGAAAUGCCCCGGCUUAACCGGCGGAAGUGCGAUUGAUACUGCAUCACUUGAAUCAGGAUGAGGCAGGCGGAAUGUGGCAUGUAGCGGUGAAAUGCUUAGAUAUGCCAUAGAACACCAAUUGCGAAGGCAGUUUGCUGGGCCUGAAUUUACGCCGAGGCAAGAAAGCCUGGGGAGCAAACAGG
rnacentral:rRNA from 1 species